ACGCUCGACACCUACGGGNGGCAGCAGUUGGGAAUAUUGGACAAUGGAGGAAACUCUGAUCCAGUGACGCCGCGUGAAGGAAGAAGGUCUUCGGAUUGUAAACUUAUUUUGUCAGGGAAGAAAAAUGACUGUACCUGAAGAAAAGCACCGGCUAACUACGUGCCAGCAGCCACGGUAAUCUGAGCGGGCUGGCAAGGC
rnacentral:rRNA from 1 species